ACACAUGCAAGUCGAGCGGGGGAAGGUAGCUUGCUACCGGACCUAGCGGCGGACGGGUGAGUAAUGCUUAGGAAUCUGCCUAUUAGUGGGGGACAACAUCUCGAAAGGGAUGCUAAUACCGCAUACGUCCUACGGGAGAAAGCAGGGGAUCUUCGGACCUUGCGCUAAUAGAUGAGCCUAAGUCGGAUUAGCUAGUUGGUGGGGUAAAGGCCUACCAAGGCGACGAUCUGUAGCGGGUCUGAGAGGAUGAUCCGCCACACUGGGACUGAGACACGGCCCAGACUCCUACGGGAGGCAGCAGUGGGGAAUAUUGGACAAUGGGGGGAACCCUGAUCCAGCCAUGCCGCGUGUGUGAAGAAGGCCUUAUGGUUGUAAAGCACUUUAAGCGAGGAGG
rnacentral:rRNA from 1 species